rnacentral:tRNA from 1 species
AGUAAAAUGGCUGAAAUUGAUAGGCGAUAAAUUGUAAAUUUAUACAUAAAUAGAAAUAUUUUUUUACUA